rnacentral:rRNA from 1 species
UACAGAGGUCCCAAGCGUUGUUCGGAUUCACUGGGCGUAAAGGGUGCGUAGGCGGCGAGGUAAGUCGGAUGUGAAAUCUCCAAGCUCAACUUGGAAAUGGCAUUGGAAACUGCCCUGCUAGAGGAUCGGGGGGGGGACUGGAAUACUCGGUGUAGCAGUGAAAUGCGUAGAUAUCAAGUGGAACACCAGUGGCGAAUGCGAGUCCCUGGACGAUACCUGACACUGAGGCACGAAAGCUAGGGGAGCAAACAGG